rnacentral:SRP_RNA from 1 species
CCGUGCUAGGCGGGGUGCUAGCGGUGCCCUGUACCCGCAAUCCGCUCUAGCGGGGCUGAAUCCCCUCCCGAGGGGCGCAGGCCCGAGGUCAGCGCCACGUCAAGCGGUGUUGAUGGUCCGGUCCCGCGGCGAUGGAGGCCCGUGAACCAGGUCAGGUCCGGAAGGAAGCAGCCUUAAGCGGUCACCUUCAGGCGUCACGGGGGCACCGGGUCGGAAUUGCGAGACGGCGGCCGCGGCCCGGAAACCGGCUUCGACGGAGGGUGCACGG